rnacentral:rRNA from 1 species
AAUGAACGCUGGCGGCAUGCCUAACACAUGCAAGUCGAACGGAAACACAGUAAGCUCUUUCUCCUACCGUUGGCGGGUGGCGGGCGGGUGAGGCGUACAUCACCAUCUACUUUUUCUUGGAUAAUUACGUAAAACCGGUUCCGCUAAUACCGCAUACGACCUACGGCUUAAAUCAAUGGAUCAUCGCACCUUUCGCGAUUCAUUUAGCCGAUGCCGGAUUAGCUAGUUGGGUGGGUAAAGGCCCACCAAGGCGACGAUCCGUAGCUGGUCUGAGAGGAUGAUCGGCCACACUGGAACUGAGACACGGUCCAGACUCCUACGGGAGGCAGCAGUGGGGAAUAUUGGACAAUGGGCGAAAGCCUGACGCAGCAAUGCCGCGUGAGUGAAGAAGGCCUUCGGGUUGUAAAGCCCUUUUGUUGGGAAAGAACAGAUGUAGGUGAAUACAUGGCUGUUUUGACGGUACCCAAAGAAUAAGCACCGGCUAACUUCGUG